rnacentral:rRNA from 1 species
ACGCGAAGAACCUUACCAGGUCUUGACAUCCUCUGACAAUCCNAGAGAUAGGACGUCCCCUUCGGGGGCAGAGUGACAGGUGGUGCAUGGUUGUCGUCAGCUCGUGUCGUGAGAUGUUGGGUUAAGUCCCGCAACGAGCGCAACCCUUGAUNNUAGUUGCCNGCAUUCAGUUGGGCACUCUAAGGUGACUGCCGGUGACAAACCGGAGGAAGGUGGGGAUGACGUCAAAUCAUCAUGCCCCUUAUGACCUGGGCUACACACGUGCUACAAUGGACAGAACAAAGGGCAGCGAAACCGCGAGGUUAAGCCAAUCCCACAAAUCUGUUCUCAGUUCGGAUCGCAGUCUGCAACUCGACUGCGUGAAGCUGGAAUCGCUAGUAAUCGCGGAUCAGCAUGCCGCGGUGANGNGUUCCCGGGCCUUGUACACACCGCCCGUCACACCACGAGAGUUUGUAACACCCGAAGUCGGUGAGGUAACC